rnacentral:rRNA from 1 species
GGACUACCCGGGUAUCUAAUCCCGUUCGCUCCCCUGGCUUUCGUCCCUCAGCGUCAGUUGCCUCCCAGGACACUGCCUGCGCCAUUGGUAUUCCUCCGGAUCUCUACGCAUUUCACCACUCCACCCGGAAUUCUAUGUCCCUCUGAGGCCCUCGAGUCCUGCCGUCUUCCCGGCACUCCCUCAGUUAAGCCGAGGGCUGGCACCGGAAACGCGCAGAACCGCCUGCGGACGCUUUACGCCCAGUAACUCCGGACAACGCUCGCCCCCUACGUAUUACCGCGGCGGCUGGCAC